GGACGGUCAGAAAAUAUCCGGACUUUUCAUGCUCCUCUCUUUCCACGUGCAGCUAUAUACACACAUUAUAUAUUGGUGAAAACUACAUUCAUUCGCCAAUAACGUGGUCAGUUUAUUUUCAAUGAUAGUUGUGUAUACACAGUAUUUUGCUCUCUGAUAUAUGAUAGGUGUUUCGUCUAUUAUGGACUCUUUGUUAGAGUAACAACGCUCUGUAAUAAAGUUUCUGGUUGCAGAAGCCCUGCCACAUCUUUCAGAGGCUUAAAAAAGAUUUUCUGAUAAAUGUGUAUCACGUUCAACCUUCUACAACUGGGUUUCUCAGUUUCGUGAAGGCAGAACAAGUGUUUGUGACAGGCCUAGGACUGGGCGGCCAGCUGAGGCGGUGACCCCAACAAUGGUAGCAAAUGUUAAAGCUUUUGUCAACAAAAAUCGUCGAGUAACUUUGGAGGAGGUAGCCAACAAGUUUAGCAUCGGUAAGGCAUCAGCACACAAGAUUUUACACGAAUACCUAGGCAU